CAGAACAAAAAUUGCAUUCAAGGUUGGAAGACUUAAUUGAUGUGCGUGUAGAAAAUAUACAAAAACAAAAAAAAAAACGUGGUGAAAAUUUUGCAAAAACAUAAAAGAGAACAUAAACCAAAUAAAAACCAAUAUAAAAGUGUUGUGGCUGCAAAGACGAAAACUUAAAAACCAACCCCUGGAUAAGGUACGCCAAGAAAAAAAUGAAAAAGUGACCUUAUUACAUAAUUCCAUGUAUGUACUGUACAUAGGUUAUGAUCCACGUGUGGCAGGAAAUUGCUGACCUGGCCUGACCCUCGGUCUCGGAGGGGGGGUCCGCUCCAGUACCACGAUCAUCCGUCCCUCUUUUUGGUGCCACCGGACCUUGCCUGCAGGCGAAAAAACGGAUGGACUUGGCGAUCGGGACCGAGUUGUUUAUAUACAUAUAUCUCACGCGCAACUAUAAAACCAUCUAUUAUAUUAUAUCACCGCGCCUUGUGUAAAGAAAUGUUGGUGCUUGCAUAUGUAGGGUGUGGAAAAAUUAGCUCAGCGGUCAUUGCCCUUGCGGCUGACCAUACACCUAUGCGCACUUAAAUAGACCCACCUGACCGUAUGUCACCUAUUCUCUCCUUCUCUCAGGUUAUUAAAAUUGUUCGAUGCCGACAUUCUAAAAGCCACUUAAGGGAAGAAAAGUAAAUCACAAAAAUCUAGAAAAGAAAAUAAUGAAAAAUCAUGGAGAGAAGAAAAAAAAUAGAAAAGAAAAUUGUUCAAUAAUAUUAAAUAUUCCUAGACAUUAACUUAGAAAUAGAAGAAGAAAAACAUGAAAUUUAUNCUAAGAUAAAAUCUGGCGGGGGGGUGUGAAGGUUGCAGACCAAAAACAAAAGGUUAGAAUGUCUGUUUGUUUUUGGGGAACAGUCUUCUAAUUUUAUCAAGAAAAUAUUGAACCUCCCCCACUGUACGCAUUCCAGCGAGAGCCCACAUGCAAGAUCAGAAGCUGUUAUCUUGAAAAGCUCUCUCUUUCGAAAUUGCAUGUGCGAGCACCGUUCACAUGUGAGCUUUUCUCUCUGCAAACAUAGCUUACGGCUAGCCCUUCGAGAACCUUCUUAGCUCUCUCAUACACAGCUUUUGGAGGGGUAAAAUAGUUAGGCUAAGUGCAUGCUGCACAGAACAAAAAUUGCAUUCAAGGUUGGAAGACUUAAUUGAUGUGAGUGUAGAAAAUAUACAAAAACAAAAAAAAACGUGGUGAAAAUUUUGCAAAACCAUAAAAGGGAACAUAAACCAAAUAAAAACCAAUAUAAAAGUGUUGUGGCUGCAAAGACGAAAACUUAAAAACCAACCCCUGGAUAAGGUACGCCAAGAAAAAAAUGAAAAAGUGACCUUAUUACAUAAUUCCAUGUAUGUACUGUACAUAGGUUAUGAUCCACGUGUGGCAGGAAAUUGCUGACCUGGCCUGACCCUCGGUCUCGGAGGGGGGGUCCGCUCCAGUACCACGAUCAUCCGUCCCUCUUUUGGUGCCACCGGACCUUGCCUGCAGGCGAAAAAACGGAUGGACUUGGCGAUCGGGACCGAGUUGUUUAUAUACAUAUAUCUCACGCGCAACUAUUAAACCAUCUAUUAUAUUAUAUCACCGCGCCUUGUGUAAAGAAACGUUGGUGCUUGCAUAUGUAGGGUGUGGAAAAAUUAGCUCAGCGGUCAUUGCCCUUGCGGCUGACCAUACACCUAUGCGCACUUAAAUAGACCCACCUGACCGUAUGUCACCUAUUCUCUCCUUCUCUCAGGUUAUUAAAAUUGUUCAAUGCCGACAUUCUAAAAGCCACUUAAGGGAAGAAAAGUAAAUCACAAAAAUCUAGAAAAGAAAACUUAAUGAAAAAUUAUGAAUAGAAGAAAAAAAAAUAGAAAAGAAAAUUGUUCAAUAAUAUUAAAUAUUCCUAGACAUUAACUUAGAAAUAGAAGAAGAAAAACAUUAAAUUUAUGCGUAGUUAAUAAUAGAUUCUAAAGGGUGCCUGAUCGGUCUCAUUGUGUCCAUGGAAGGGUAUUGGUAAAAUACCUCUUCAUAACGCUUCUUUGUUAUUUUGCAUAUUUCUACAUUUCUUUAACAGUUAGAACGUGAAAUUGGGCCCAAC
rnacentral:lncRNA from 1 species